rnacentral:rRNA from 1 species
AUUCCAGCUCCAAUAGCGUAUAUUUAAGUUGUUGCAGUUAAAAAGCUCGUAGUUGGAUCUUGGGUCGUAAGGGUCGGUCCGCCUACUCGGUGUGCACCUGCCCUUCCGUCCCUUUUGUCGGCGGCGUGCUCCUGGCCUUAAUUGGCUGGGUCGCGGUUCCGGCGCUGUUACUUUGAAAAAAUUAGAGUGCUCAAAGCAAGCUUAUGCUCUGAAUACAUUAGCAUGGAAUAACGUGAUAGGAGUCUGGUCCUAUUGUGUUGGCCUUCGGGACCGGAGUAAUGAUUAAUAGGGACUGUCGGGGGCAUUCGUAUUUCAUUGUCAGAGGUGAAAUUCUUGGGUUUAUGAAAGACGGACCACUGCGAAAGCAUUUGCCAAGGAUGUUUUCAUUG